AUUUAUCUUUUAAAAUAUAUUUUUUACCGAGCUUUUAUUUAUUCGAAGGGACAGUUUAAUAGGUCACAUGGCCCAUUAAAAUUUGAGUGAUCCAUAUUGCUUUCGAUCAUCUCAAAGUCCCAACUUGUCACACAAUCAUCAUUUAAUUUCGACCGACUAAAAUAAUACCUUCAUGUGUGAUAUGGAUCCAACAAAAAAAUUUAAAAUAAUAGUAGAAUAUAUAAUAAGUAUCAAGAUGCUUAGCAAAAUACAUAUUAAAAAUGCCGCUCACAAUAUCUUUCAUCCAAUACUACGUGAAGUUUAAUGUUCAGAAACCACAUAAUUAAUGGACUAGAUCCAGAAUUAAAUGAUGCAUUUUAGUAUAAUCAAUCAAAACAGAAAAAGUAUUUUGAGAAGAUUUAAAUAUUUAGAAGCAAACAUAAUGUUAAAUCUUAGUAGUAUAAUCUUAAAGGUAGCUUUUAGUUUCGUUAGAAUUGAAACUUGGGAGAUCUUUGCUUUUACUUUAUAUUUUUAAAAUUGAUAAUCAUACCAACCACGAAGUGUAUCAUUUUUCUAAAUAACUCAUUUUGGUAGAAAGAGGCGUGUAAGCGUUGACGAACAUAUCACCAGUCCUCUGAAAAGGGGAAAAGAAAGGGAAGCCCAAAUCGGACACAUCAUCCUCACUCCUCAGCAUCCCACUCUCGCUCACUUGCUCUGUCCGCUAGGCGCUCCACUACCUCCCCGCCGUUGGCCCCUACCCUGCAUCCCCACCACCGGCGCCGAGGGUCGUCCUAUCCCCUGAAUACGCGCCGCCGACGCGAGGGCGAGGCCCUACUCUCCUUAGCCUCACCGGCUACCAUGAGUUCCGCCCCUUCCUCAUCCCCGCUGCAAUCCCGAGGAGGCACCAGAGUUCCUGGGGAGAGCAGGAGGUGCAAGGCUCGUCAUGCUCGCAACAGGAGGGCUCCAUGGCGCCAGCCUCCAGGAAGAAGCAUUGGAAGCCACCCAUAUGAUGCAAUACAGUGGAUUGACCCAUGUAUAGCAGGUACGGGCGAUCCAAAACAUGGAAAAGGAGUAACGGAGCCUGCAACGAAUAAGCAUAAUUGAUGCGAUCCAAUACAAUUUGUCGGGAGUGGAUGAAGGAGGAGCGGCUACUCAGUCGACGUGCAGGGAGUCGGGGCGCGGUGGUGCAGGUCUGCGAGGUCACCCUGCGCGGAGAAGAAGGAUCUGUGCAGGCCUGCGAGUACGCCGUGCAGGUGCAUGGGAGAAGACGGGCUGUUGGGCGGCGUACGGCGUCAUGGCCAGGGGUGUUCGCGAUGGGGUCGGGGAGAUCCGGUAAUCAGUUUUUCGAUCAGUUUUGCGCUGAUACUUGCGUGAUUAGCGGGAUGAGGACGUGGGUUGUUGGGUGUGCGAUCAGUUUUCCUCUGCCGGUGAAGCACGGUCAGUCAUUGUAAUUUGCUAAGUGCACACGGGUGAAUCAUGUCUGUUAAUUUGAGUCUUGUUUCAUGGGCCUGAUCGUGCGGUGUUGUUUAUUCUGUGGAGAUUAGCAGUGUGUACGUAAGAAAAUUCGUGUUCGCUCUUUUAUUAGUAGUGGAGAUGGAGAUGGAGAUGAGGACGUGGGUUGUUGGGUGUGCGAUCAGUUUUCCUCUGCCGGUGAAGCACGGUCAGUCAUUGUAAUUUGCUAAGUGCACACGGGUGAAUCAUGUCUGUUAAUUUGAGUCUUGUUUCAUGGGCCUGAUCGUGCGGUGUUGUUUAUUCUGUGGAGAUUAGCAGUGUGUACGUAAGAAAAUUCGUGUUCGCUCUUUUAUUAGUAGUGGAGAUGGAGAUGGAGAUGAGGGUUGCACAAUA